rnacentral:snRNA from 1 species
GGAUGUGAGGUUGAUUUGGCUGUGACAUCUGUCACCCCAUUGAUCAGCAGGGUUGAUUCUGCAGAUCUGGCUGCCUAGACAGGUGCCCCCUUCCUCCCUCACCGCUCCUGAAUCUGUGUGCUUAGUUGAAGAGGACUGCCUUCACGAAUAGAGAUGGACUGGUUUUCAGUCAAGGGUAUAGGAGUAGCUUCACUCCCCUUCUAGAACCUCCACACAAGGUCUCAGUUUAUCACCUUGGGUCAGAUGUUGGCUUUAGGUUUGCUGUAUAAAUUUUCCAUCUACUUCCAUUUUUGUUGUAGUGUUUUGAU